rnacentral:rRNA from 1 species
UACGGAGGGUGCAAGCGUUACCCGGAUUCACUGGGUUUAAAGGGUGCGUAGGUGGGCAGGUAAGUCAGUGGUGAAAUCUCUGGGCUUAACCCGGAAACUGCCAUUGAUACUAUUUGUCUUGAAUAUCGUGGAGGUCAGCGGAAUAUGUCAUGUAGCGGUGAAAUGCUUAGAUAUGACAUAGAACACCAAUUGCGAAGGCAGCUGGCUACACGAAUAUUGACACUGAUGCACGAAAGCGUGGGGAUCAAACAGG